GGCCCACCAAGCCUUCGAUGGAUAGGGGUUCUGAGAGGAAGGUCCCCCACAUUGGAACUGAGACACGGUCCAAACUCCUACGGGAGGCAGCAUG
rnacentral:rRNA from 1 species